AAAGACUUAAGUUAAUACAAACUAAAAGCCUUCAAAGCUCUAAUCGGGCCAUAAUCAACCCAGUCUUUA
rnacentral:tRNA from 1 species